rnacentral:rRNA from 1 species
AUUCCAGCUCCAAUAGCGUAUAUUAAAGUUGUUGCAGUUAAAAAGCUCGUAGUUGGAUUUCUGGUUGAAGCGACCGGUCGGGCGUUGAUUCGUCUGCACUGGAGUCGGUUUUGGCCAUCCUCUAGGAAAGUGCGUCUGGUAUUAAGUUGUCGGGCGUAUGAUCCUGGUCUUUUACUGUGAAAAAAUUAGAGUGUUUAAAGCAGGCCUUCGCCUUGAAUACAUUAGCAUGGAAUAAUAAGAUAGGACUUUGGUCUAUUUUGUUGGUUUGCAGACCGAAGUAAUGAUUAAUAGGGAUAGUUGGGGGUAUUUAUAUUCCGAUGUCAGAGGUGAAAUUCUUAGAUUUUCGGAAGAUAAACUUAUGCGAAAGCAUUUACCAAGGAUGUUUUCAUUA